rnacentral:tRNA from 1 species
CUAACACUAACGGGCGGCAAUGGUAAGUAAACACAACCCCAGCUCUGGGGUGUCAUCACGUAAGGUUGCAAACCUUGAGAAGGAGACUAUAGUCUCCCGGGGCUU